AACGCACGAGACCUGCGGACCUGCGGAGGGAUCAUUAAUGAGAAGCUGCCCCUCGUGGGUAGACCUCCCACCCUCUGUGAACUUACCUUUGUUGCUUUGGCAGGCCCGUCCUCUGGACCGCCGGCUUCGGCUGGCCCGUGCCUGCCAGAGGAUUCCAAACCCUGUCUGUCAGUGUUGUCUGAGUCUAUAUGAAAUCGUUAAAACUUUUAACAACGGAUCUCUAGAUCGGAAGAGCACACG
rnacentral:misc_RNA from 1 species